GGCGGACGGGUGAGUAACGCGUGAGAAUCUGCCCUCAGGAGGGGGAUAACGGUUGGAAACGACCGCUAAUACCCCAUAUGCCUACUGGUGAAAUGAAUUUCGCCUGAGGAUGAGCUCGCGUCUGAUUAGCUAGUUGGUGAGGUAAUGGCUCACCAAGGCUUCGAUCAGUAGCUGGUCUGAGAGGAUGAUCAGCCACACUGGGACUGAGACACGGCCCAGACUCCUACGGGAGGCAGCAGUGGGGAAUUUUCCGCAAUGGGCGAAAGCCUGACGGAGCAACGCCGCGUGAGGGACGAAGGCCUCUGGGCUGUAAACCUCUUUUCUCAAGGAAGAAGAUAUGACGGUACUUGAGGAAUAAGCCACGGCUAAUUCCGUGCCAGCAGCCGCGGUAAUACGGGAGUGGCAAGCGUUAUCCGGAAUUAUUGGGCGUAAAGCGUCCGCAGGCGGCUUUUCAAGUCUGCUGUUAAAGAGUGGAGCUUAACUCCAUCAUGGCAGUGGAAACUGAAAGGCUUGAGUAUGGUAGGGGCAGAGGGAAUUCCCGGUGUAGCGGUGAAAUGCGUAGAUAUCGGGAAGAACACCAGUGGCGAAGGCGCUCUGCUGGGCCAUUACUGACGCUCAUGGACGAAAGCCAGGGGAGCGAAAGGGAUUAGAUACCCCUGUAGUCCUGGCCGUAAACGAUGAACACUAGGUGUCGGGGGAAUCGACCCCUUCGGUGUCGUAGCUAACGCGUUAAGUGUUCCGCCUGGGGAGUACGCACGCAAGUGUGAAACUCAAAGGAAUUGACGGGGGCCCGCACAAGCGGUGGAGUAUGUGGUUUAAUUCGAUGCAACGCGAAGAACCUUACCAGGGUUUGACAUCCUGCGAACCUCUUAGAAAUUUGAGGGUGCCUUCGGGAAUGCAGUGACAGGUGGUGCAUGGCUGUCGUCAGCUCGUGUCGUGAGAUGUUGGGUUAAGUCCCGCAACGAGCGCAACCCACGUUUUUAGUUGCCAGCAUUUAGUUGGGCACUCUAGAAAGACCGCCGGUGAUAAACCGGAGGAAGGUGUGGAUGACGUCAAGUCAUCAUGCCCCUUACACCCUGGGCUACACACGUACUACAAUGCUACGGACAAAGGGCAGCAAACUCGCGAGAGCUAGCAAAUCCCAUAAACCGUGGCUCAGUUCAGAUCGUAGGCUGCAACUCGCCUACGUGAAGUAGGAAUCGCUAGUAAUCGCAGGUCAGCAUACUGCGGUGAAUACGUUCCCGGGCCUUGUACACACCGCCCGUCACACCAUGGAAGUUGGCCAUGCCCGAA
rnacentral:rRNA from 1 species